AAAGGCUUCUGAUUCAACCAAUGCGGUGCUUUGCUAGCAUUUAAGCUCUUCAGACUAAUCUUGUGUAUAUUAAUCUUAGUGUUUAGAACACAAUUCUGUUUACGCAUAUACUUGUUAAUUUAAACGUAGUUUGCUUCUUAUAUUAGCGAAUGUGUUAACUUGAUACUGCACAAGGCUAAUCGCCCGGAGCAUGAGGUCACGAAACUAGACGGAGAAAGAUCUGGUGAAAGGAGAGGAAGAAGCUUUCAGAAUGGAAGAGGAGGCUAUCACAUUGAAACAAGAGGAUGAUAUUACAGGGAAAGAGGAAGAUGGGAAAGAGGUUGUCAGAGUGGAAAAUGAGGAGGUAGAAGCUUUCAGAAUCAAAAGGAUGAAGAUCCCGUAACAUUGAAGAAAGAUAAUAUAGUGAAAGAAGAGGAAGAACCUUUCAGAAUCAAAAAUGAGGAAGAUGCCGUAACAUUGAAGGAGGAGAAUGUAGUGAAAGAAGAGGAAGAACCUUUUGGAGUAAAAGAGGAAGAGGAGGAUAUCUCAAUAAAAGAGGAGGAAGAUGUUUUAGGAGUGAAAAAGGAGGAGGAGUCAGAAUAUCCGAUUACCAUCAGAGAGAGACAUGACGAUCCUGGAUCCUCUGGGGAGCCUCAACAACAUCCUGAUGCUGACGAGUCAGAGAAGAAUCUCUCCAGAUCAGAACACCAGAUGGACAACGCUAGCCCUUCCUCUCUCCCGGAGUCCCCGUGUCGUGCCUCUCCCGGUAGCACCUUACUGCUGGGUAUGAAGAGGUUGUCUGUGCUGUGGGUGUUCUGCAGGAAAACAACGGGGCUGAGUGGAACUGUGAGAGGAGGAGAAGAGAAGAAAGGAUCAGAUUUGACUCAUCA